AGAGUUUGAUCAUGGCUCAGAUUGAACGCUGGCGGUAUGCUUAACACAUGCAAGUCGAACGGCAGCAUAGUUUGUAGCAAUACAGACUGAUGGCGAGUGGCGGACGGGUGAGAAACGCGUAGGAAUCUGCCUUAUAGAGGGGGACAACUAGAGGAAACUCUAGCUAAUACCGCGUAAAGUCUAAGGACUAAAGGCUGGGUAGCAAUACCUGGCGCUGUAAGAGGAGCCUGCGUCCGAUUAGCUAGUUGGUAGGGUAAAGGCCUACCAAGGCGAUGAUCGGUAGCUGGUCUGAGAGGAUGAUCAGCCACACUGGGACUGAGACACGGCCCAGACUCCUACGGGAGGCAGCAGUGGGGAAUAUUGGACAAUGGGGGCAACCCUGAUCCAGCAAUACCGCGUGUGUGAAGAAGGCCUUCGGGUUGUAAAGCACUUUAGGUUGGGAAGAAGUUGCGUAGUUUAAGAGAUGACGUAAUUGACUGUACCGACAGAAUAAGCACCGGCUAACUCUGUGCCAGCAGCCGCGGUAAUACAGAGGGUGCAAGCGUUAAUCGGAGUUACUGGGCGUAAAGGGCGCGUAGGCGGUUGUUUAAGUGAGAUGUGAAAUCCCUGGGCUUAACCUAGGAACUGCAUCUUAAACUGAAUGACUGGAGUACUGUAGAGGGUAGUGGAAUUUCCGGUGUAGCGGUGAAAUGCGUAGAGAUCGGAAGGAACACCAGUGGCGAAGGCGGCUACCUGGACAGAUACUGACGCUGAGGCGCGAGAGNNNGGGGAGAAACAGGAUUAGAUACCCUAGUAGUCC
rnacentral:rRNA from 1 species